rnacentral:siRNA from 1 species
UCAUACCAGUGAAUGUCACAUGUC